GACGAACGCUGGCGGCGUGCUUAACACAUGCAAGUCGAGCGGUAAGGCCCUUUCGGGGGUACACGAGCGGCGAACGGGUGAGUAACACGUGGGUGACCUGCCCUCAGCUCUGGGAUAAGCCUGGGAAACUGGGUCUAAUACCGGAUAUGACUCCAUGACGCAUGUUGUGGGGUGGAAAGCCUUGUGCGGCUGAGGAUGGGCCCGCGGCCUAUCAGCUUGUUGGUGGGGUGAUGGCCUACCAAGGCGACGACGGGUAGCCGGCCUGAGAGGGCGACCGGCCACACUGGGACUGAGACACGGCCCAGACUCCUACGGGAGGCAGCAGUGGGGAAUCUUGCGCAAUGGGCGAAAGCCUGACGCAGCGACGCCGCGUGAGGGAUGACGGCCUGGUGUAACU
rnacentral:rRNA from 1 species